GUGCUCGCUUCGGCAGCACAUACUAAAAUUGGAACAAUACAGAGAAGAUUAGCAUGGUUUCUGUACAAGGAUGACAUGCAAAUUCAUGAAGCGUUCCGUAUUUUU
rnacentral:snRNA from 1 species